CUGUCGGGCGUUGCUAUACAUGCAAGUCGUACGCACUGGCCCAACUGAUUGAUGGUGCUUGCACCUGAUUGACGAUGGAUCACCAGUGAGUGGCGGACGGGUGAGUAACACGUAGGUAACCUGCCCCGGAGCGGGGGAUAACAUUUGGAAACAGAUGCUAAUACCGCAUAACAACAAAAGCCACAUGGCUUUUGUUUAAAAGAUGGCUUUGGCUAUCACUCUGGGAUGGACCUGCGGUGCAUUAGCUAGUUGGUAAGGUAACGGCUUACCAAGGCGAUGAUGCAUAGCCGAGUUGAGAGACUGAUCGGCCACAAUGGAACUGAGACACGGUCCAUACUCCUACGGGAGGCAGCAGUAGGGAAUCUUCCACAAUGGGCGCAAGCCUGAUGGAGCAACACCGCGUGAGUGAAGAAGGGUUUCGGCUCGAAAAGCUCUGUUGUUGGAGAAUAGAGUGCGUGAUAGUAACUGUUCACGCAGUGACGGUAUCCAACCAGAAAGUCACGGCUAACUACGUGCCAGCAGCCGCGGUAAUACGUAGGUGGCAAGCGUUAUCCGGAUUUAUUGGGCGUAAAGCGAGCGCAGGCGGUUGCUUAGGUCUGAUGUGAAAGCCUUCGGCUUAACCGAAGAAGUGCAUCGGAAACCGGGCGACUUGAGUGCAGAAGAGGACAGUGGAACUCCAUGUGUAGCGGUGGAAUGCGUAGAUAUAUGGAAGAACACCAGUGGCGAAGGCGGCUGUCUGGUCUGCAACUGACGCUGAGGCUCGAAAGCAUGGGUAGCGAACAGGAUUAGAUACCCUGGUAGUCCAUGCCGUAAACGAUGAGUGCUAGGUGUUGGAGGGUUUCCGCCCUUCAGUGCCGGAGCUAACGCAUUAAGCACUCCGCCUGGGGAGUACGACCGCAAGGUUGAAACUCAAAGGAAUUGACGGGGGCCCGCACAAGCGGUGGAGCAUGUGGUUUAAUUCGAAGCUACGCGAAGAACCUUACCAGGUCUUGACAUCUUGCGCUAACCUUAGAGAUAAGGCGUUCCCUUCGGGGACGCAAUGACAGGUGGUGCAUGGUCGUCGUCAGCUCGUGUCGUGAGAUGUUGGGUUAAGUCCCGCAACGAGCGCAACCCUUGUUACUAGUUGCCAGCAUUAAGUUGGGCACUCUAGUGAGACUGCCGGUGACAAACCGGAGGAAGGUGGGGACGACGUCAGAUCAUCAUGCCCCUUAUGACCUGGGCUACACACGUGCUACAAUGGACGGUACAACGAGUCGCAAGCUCGCGAGAGUAAGCUAAUCUCUUAAAGCCGUUCUCAGUUCGGACUGUAGGCUGCAACUCGCCUACACGAAGUCGGAAUCGCUAGUAAUCGCGGAUCAGCAUGCCGCGGUGAAUACGUUCCCGGGCCUUGUACACACCGCCCGUCACACCAUGGGAGUUUGUAACGCCCAAAGUCGGUGGCCUAACCUUUAUGGAGGGAGCCGCCUAAGGCGGGACAGAUGACUGGGGGAAGUCGUAACAAGAGCCAAG
rnacentral:rRNA from 2 species